CAAUAGCGUAUAUUAAAGUUGUUGCAGUUAGAACGCUCGUAGUCGGAUUUCGGGGCGGGCCGACCGGUCUGCCGAUGGGUAUGCACUGGUCGGCGCGUCCUUCCUUCCGGAGACCGUCCCUACUCUUAACUGAGCGGGGGCGGGAGACGGGACUUUUACUUUGAAAAAAUCAGAGUGUUUCAAGCAGGCAGCUCGCUCUUGCAUGGAUUAGCAUGGGAUAAUGAAAUAGGACUUUGGUGCUAUUUUGUUGGUUUCGAACACCGAAGUAAUGAUGAGAAGGGACAGUCAGGGGCACUCGUAUUCCGCCGAGAGAGGUGAAAUUCUCAGACCGGCGGAAGACGAACCACUGCGAAAGCAUUUGCCAGGGAUGUUUUCACUGA
rnacentral:rRNA from 1 species